rnacentral:rRNA from 1 species
CCCCCCGGGAUCAAGCUUGCUUGUCUCAAAGAUUAAGCCAUGCAUGUGUCAGUAUGAACUUUAAAAAAGUGAAACCGCGAAAGGCUCAUUAAAUCAGUUAUGGUUUAUUAGAUCGUACGUUUACAUGGAUAUCUCUGGCAUUUUCUAGAGCUAAUACAUGCAAGUUUUGUGUUGUAAAAGAUACAAAUGCAAUUAUUAGAACAAAACCAAUGAGAUUGGAUGCAUUUCCGUGUGUUUGGUCUCGUUUUUUGUUGACUCUAGAUAGUUUUUUGUGAAUCGAACGGUCUCGUACCGUUGAAGUACCUUUCAAAUGUCUGACUUAUCAACUUUCGAUGGUAGGUUAUAUGCCUACCAUGGUAGUUACGAGUAACGGGGAAUCAGGGUUCGAUUCCGGAGAAGGAGCCUGAGAAACGGCUGCUACAUCCAAGGAAGGCAGCAGGCACGCAAAUUACUCAAUCCCAGUGCGGGGAAGUAGUGACGAUAAAUAACUGGGCAAGUCUCUGUUAGAGAUUGUGCUAUGGCAAUGAGUACAGUUUAAAUUGAUUAACGAGUAUCAAUUGGAGGGCAAGUCUGGUGCCAGCAGCCGCGGUAAUUCCAGCUCCAAAAGCGUAUAUUAAAGUUGUUGCAGUUAAAAAGCUCGUAGUUGGAUUUGGGGUAACGGUAGUAACUUUUUCUUUUUGAAAAAUGUUAUUAGUCCGACCCAGUGUUUGCAGUUUUCCUUCAUUGCACUUUGCUGUGUGAUGUGUGUGAAGCUGAGGCGUUUACUUUGAAAAAAUUAGAGUGCUUAGAGCAAGCGUAUGCUUGAAUAUUGUUGCAUGGGAUAAUGAAAUAGGACCACGGUUCUAUUUUGUUGGUUUUCGGAAACCGAGGAAAUGAUCGAGAGGAACAGCCGAGGGCAUUCGUAUUGUGGCGCUAGAGGUGGAAUUCUUGGACCGCCGCAAGACGAACAACCGCGAAAGCAUUUGCCAAGAAUGUUUUCAUUGAUCAAGAACGAAAGUCAGAGGUUCGAAGGCGAUUAGAUACCGCCGUAGUUUUGACUAUAAACGAUGUCGACUGGUGAUUCGCUUGGUGAAUUUUCGUUUGGCCAAGCGGGCAACCUUCGGGAAACCAAAGUUUUUGGAUUCCGGGGGGAGUAUGGUUGCAAAGCUGAAACUUAAAGGAAUUGACGGAAGGGCACUACCAGGAGUGGAGCCUGCGGCUUAAUUUGACUCAACACGGGGAAACUUACCCGAGCCGGACACUUUAAGGAUUGACAGAUUGAAAGCUCUUUCUUGAUAGAGUGGAUGGUGGUGCAUGGCCGUUCACAGUUGGUGAAGUGAUUUGUCUGGUUAAUUCCGAUAACGAACGAGACUCUAGCCUACUUACUAGUGCUGUCGUGCCUUAUAUUCGCGUGUGUUGGUGAGUUGUAGCCGUUAAAAGCUGCGCUUAUUAAUAUAUUGUGUGUAUAAAGGGCGGCAUGCUGCUGCUUCUUAGAGGAACAAAUGCCUAUUGUGGUAGUCAUAUGAGAGAGAGCAAUAACAGGUCUGUGAUGCCCUUAGAUGUCCGGGGCUGCACGCGCGCUACUCUAAUCGUGUCAGUGUGCUUUGUACUAAUGCGAAAGCAUGAGUUAAUCAUUGAAACUCGUGCGUGAUAGGAAUAGAGAAUUGCAAUUAUUUCUCUUGAACGAGGAAUUCCUAGUAAGUGCAGGUCAUCAACUUGCGUUGAUUACGUCCCUGCCCUUUGUACACACCGCCCGUCGCUACUACCGAUUGAAUGACUUAGCGAGAUUCUCGGACUGAAGUUAAGUGACUCUAACAGGUUAUUUACNNCUUCGGAAAGUUGAUCUAGCUCGGUUAUUUC